AGAGUUUGAUCCUGGCUCAGAAUCAACGCUGGCGGCGCGCUUAACACAUGCAAGUCGAGCGAGAAAGGGGAGCAAUCCCUGAGUACAGCGGCGUACGGGUGAGUAACACGUGGGUCAUCUACCUCUUUGUGGGGAAUAACCCUGGGAAACCGGGGCUAAUACCGCAUAAGCCUGGAAAGGGAAAGCAAGCAAUUGCGCAGAGAGAGGAGCCCGCGGCCGAUUAGCUAGUUGGUGAGGUAACGGCUCACCAAGGCGACGAUCGGUAGCCGGCCUGAGAGGGCACGCGGCCACACUGGCACUGAAACACGGGCCAGACUCCUACGGGAGGCAGCAGUGGGGAAUCUUGCACAAUGGAGGCAACUCUGAUGCAGCGACGCCGCGUGAGCGAUGAAGCCCCUCGGGGUGUAAAGCUCUUUCGGCAGGAACGAUAAUGACGGUACCUGAAGAAGAAGCUGCGGCUAACUACGUGCCAGCAGCCGCGGUAAUACGUAGGCAGCAAGCGUUGUUCGGAAUUACUGGGCGUAAAGAGUGUGUAGGCGGUGCUCUAAGUUCGGUGUGAAAUCUCCUGGCUUAACUGGGAGGGUGCGCCGGAAACUGGAGUGCUCGAGCGUGGGAGAGGAAAGCGGAAUUCCUGGUGUAGCGGUGAAAUGCGUAGAUAUCAGGAGGAACACCUGCGGUGUAGACGGCUUUCUGGACCAUUGCUGACGCUGAGACACGAAAGCGUGGGUAGCAAACAGGAUUAGAUACCCUGGUAGUCC
rnacentral:rRNA from 1 species